rnacentral:lncRNA from 1 species
CACCCCAAAGGGGAGAGCAGGAAGAAUGACAGGGAGGGGGUGGGGAGCCAGGCAGGCCUCUACCAGGCUGCUUUUCCAAAUCACUUCUGCUCAUCGGAGAUAACCACACUAAAAUUAAUGCCCACACACAGACCAGGGCAAGAUAGCAAGAAAGAAGUUUCUCUGCCCACUGGACUACGGGCUCCCGCCCCUUGGCGCUGAGAUAACUCGGAGAUAAGGCUGCGGGCAGAUAAGAAAUGGGGAGGGAGGGGUAGCGGGGCUGGUCCUCAGUAUCCCGGGAACCUGGGAGUCCCUGAAAUCCUCCAGGAGCAAAGGAGGGGAACACCCUCGGAGCUGAUCACGGCCGGAGAAAGGCCGGAGAACUGGAGGACCGAGGGCCUACGACUGUUAGGGUAGGAAGAAGAAAAGGAAAGCUAAAGAGGAAGCAGCCGAACCUCGGGCGAGCGACGUGCGUGAAGAACGGCGGCGGCGGAGGGUGCUCCCGGGUGCGGAGUGAGGCCGAGGGCGCCGGCGGGAGAGCGCGAGUCCGGGGUCUGCCAGUGGCUGCUGGUGAAUAAAAAGGAGAGAGGAGGCGCCUCUUACUGCUCUGCCGGAAAACUGCAGCCUGCGCUCCUGAUUGGACUCACCGAGCCCUAAACAAACAGCGCUCGCCGAAGGGUGCCAGGCUGUGGGUCGGAACUGCUCUCACCAAGCUGCUGGGUGCGGAGGUGAAGAGGAGGAGGAGGGACCGAGGGGAGGAGAAAAAAGCUGGUGGGGAGGGGACGGGGAGGGGGAGGGGAGUGAGCAGCCCUAGCAGACAAUAAGUGCUAGGCAGCCUGCGGGCGUGGGCUGAGCAGCAAGCACUGUCCCCAGAGUGGGGGCGAAUCCACCCAGGGGGCGCCCAGCUCGGAGACUCUAGGGGAGGGGUAGAGGCAACAGCACGCCUGACCUGGCCGGCGACCCGUAUUCAUCCAGCUUUGGAACACACCCUCGAGUUCCCAGUUCACAUACACACGCACACGCACGCGCGCGCGCGCGCGCACACACACACACACACACACACACACACACACACACACACACACACACACACACACACACACACACACACACACACACACACACACACACACACACACACACACACACACACACACACACACACGAGUCACACCCGGGGCAGAAGGGAAACUUGGCACCGGAGAAGCUGGAUCUUUGUAGCCCCGCACUAACCGCCGCUGCAAACGGACCGGCGCGCCACCUCCCAGGAUUUCUUCCGACAAGCUGGACACUGGAAGGGUGCAGAAAGGGAACUGAACAGGAGGAACUCUCUUGUUGGAUUGGAUUUUUACACACUCGCCCCAGUUGGAGAAAGGAGAGGGGUCCAAGCAGAGCUGAACAUGAAUGCAUGGGUGCGCUGUAA